GAAUGUGAGCGUGAUCCAGCUGUGACACCUGUCACCCGUGGGUCACCAGGACUCAUCUGCUGACCUGGCUGGCUCGGCGGCUGUCCCCAUCCUCCCCCACUGCUCCCUAUGCAUCCCUCCAGAAGCUGUGGAGGUAGUUGGGGAGAGAGGACCACACCCCCGAUAAAGGAGGGCUGUUCCUUCCCCUGAGGCUAUAGGAGUAGCUGUGCCCCUGCCAGAACUUCCAAACAAGCUCUCAAACCUUCUCCUUUAAGUUGUGGAUGUCAGCUACUGUGUAUGAACAAGAAUAGUGACUAUGCAAAGGACAUUAAUAAGAAAUUUAAAAGACCUUGUAAAAUACAAAAAAUAUCU
rnacentral:snRNA from 1 species